GCCUUCUCUUCUUCCUAAGAACACAGCAACGCGAACCCCAAUCCCCAACGCGUAGCCGCCAGCUCCAGCUUGGCGACGGUGGCGGCGGGCCAGAUCCGGUGUCUAGCUGGGCGAUUGCGCCCGGUGGAGGUCCAGAUCCAUCCACGACCGUCUUGUUGCCGGCGUUCUGGCUGCCCCGGCGGACCUCCUCUGUCCGAAGCUGAGACCUUGUGCGGCAAGUUCUCCAAGGUCCUCUGCUGCGACCUCCAUAGAAAACUCUCAUUCCAUUCUUUCUCCUACCCCAAUGAGCCCAUUCUCCACACGUCGCCUGCACCCCCGCAUCUAACUCCACCAUCUGGGAACGUCGUAGAAGAAAUCUCCAGUCUUCAUGUAUGCUUGUCUGAAAGAAGUCAGAUAUUUGGAUUUGGAGUGAAAUGCAAUUUCUGCUCUGCAUAUGAUGGAUAGAUCAAAGCUCGUCGACUAGUACUACGUUCGUCCUCCGCUGUUUUGUUGCUGCAUCUCGAACUGAAAAUGGAAGGAAGUGGUGGGACGUCGCCUUUAGGAGAGCCCACCGUUCCAGUAAUCCCAAACUAUGUACCAACACUGUCAGUCGUGGAAUCGGCCAAUAGUGUCCAAAAUCAAGAUUUGAGUGAUGCUACCUCAUUUGCAGAAAUAAAUUCCCCAAUGCUUCUCAUUCAUGAUGCGAGUACACCAAAAAAGAAACAAGCCUUCUCUCAAGAGGUCUGACUUCUCCCAGCACAAGAAGAUCGAUAAGCAAGAGGCACUAGUACUGGAGGCAAAAGGCUGUAGCUUUUCUGUUGUGUACCAAACAGAGCAAACUUGAUGCAAAUUCUGAUGGCAAGCUUGUUCAGCAGACAGCGGUGCUUACUUUAGUCCUGCAUACUCUGUGUUGUCUGUGAUGUACCAAAAAUGGUCCUCUCAUGUUAUGUAACACUUUAUAUGUAUGUGUGUCGUCUCUGUUCUGUUCUGUUCUGUCUGGGAUAGUGCAAUUUAAAAUGUAUGCGUAGUUAUGGUUUA